rfam:Pseudomonas fluorescens F113, complete genome.
UGUCAUGGUGGCCGUGCGCAGGGCGUCUUCGGGCGCGCCGGGUUCCUAGUGCUCCGGUCUACCAACCCGCGUACGGCCGCCACCCAA